rnacentral:lncRNA from 1 species
GCGGUUGCUUGGGCGGCAGUGGACGAUGCUCCCCUAGCAAUGCGGACUUGGCCUUUGCCUGAUCCCACCCUGGUUCACGUCGGUGGGUGAGUCCUUCGCAGCAGCGCUCCUGGGGCUGCACAGGGCGAGAAAGUCACUGGAAACCGACUGCUUCUCUGAGAGUAACUGUUAGUACAGAGAAUGAUUCUGAGUUUUGUGAGUGACUGAUUUCACCUCGGCUUUACUCCUUCGCGCCGCAUCCCAUCUAUUAACUGCAGCUUCCCGGGUCAGCUGAUGGGAUUACGAACAAAAACAAAGUUAUCGUCAAUGUUUGAAAGUUUCAUAAAGAGAAAAUGCCAGCGGGGAUCUACUCCUCUGAAACGCAAGAAGACUCUGUAAUUGCUGAUCGAGUUCUCGAUUGCAACAUCUCGGGAAUUUCGCGCACAGCAUUCCCAGAACUAGUCUGGGCCUCGCUAUCAGCUAUGGCUGGCCUGGAACUCGCUAUGUACACCAUUUAUUGAUUGACUGAUUGAUUGAUUGCAGAUACGUGAAAGAAUGUUACAAUACACACACGUGGAG